GGAGGGCGCGCCCGUCCCAGCCCAGAGCCGCUCGCUGGUACCCGAGCCCGUCGGCGGCGGAGGCUGGCGCGGGGUGUGCCCGGCCGCCGCCCCGGGAGCUGGGAACCGGGCGAACCCCGGUGCUUCUGCCCCCUAGAUGGCGGCUGUCUGGGAUCUUUAAUCCGGAUGUCGCAAGGACUCCGGGAGACAGCCUAGGACGGCUGUCGUUUUCGUCCACAGGAGCCUCGGUCUGCAGAGGAACUUAGCCAGGCCCUCGUUUGCCCGGGGUCUGGAGUCUGAGCCGGCUGGCACUGGCCACCUUGGAGGCCGGCGUCCCCGGGCCGCUUCUCUUCCCGGGCUCCUUCCUUUCCUGGGCUCCGGAGGGGGUCAGACCUCCCCCGAUGCUAAUGGCUUGGCUGUCAGAGCGUCGGAAGGACAGCUGGUACUCAUGAGCUCUCCAGAGAGCCCCCGUCACUAAAGGCUGAGGGAGACCCCUGAGCCCGCGGAGCUCCAGGCCAAAGAGGGAAUUCUAGGGCCGGGCCCAGGAGGCUGAAAAUAAGGACAACAAAGUAACAGCUAACACUGAAUGAGGAAAGUGAAGCACAGAGGCCUUAAAUCUCUCUGGGUCUCAGUUUCCUGAAAAUCCAACACUUCUGAAGGAAUACCAGAAGCAGCUGCAACCACGCAGCCUAGGAAGCCCUCAAGAACCUGGCGGUGGGAAAGUCUAGGCGCUCGCUCAAACGGGAAGGGGUCUGCAGGAGCCCGAGGAGAACGGCCAACUGGUGGGAAGCUGGAAGAUUUUUUACAUGACGCAGGCUUCGCGGACUGUGAGAGUGUGACGGAUUCUUAAAGACCUGGAUCCCACCUGCCUCAAAUGAAAGCAGUUUAACGCCAGAGGUAUGGGAUAUGUGAUAAGUAUCUUCCAGGCUCACCGGUUUUACUCUUGGAAGUUGUAUGUGGGAAGUUUAGUAAUUUAAGGUAUUUUGAUACCAAAUAUGGAUGUUUGGGAAAUGCAAAUUGUUCAUUGAUCAAGAUUAAACACAAGGCUUCUAGAAAUUUCGGGCUUACAGCUUAACAAGGCUGGCUUUGGAGAGUGUGAUGUCGCCACCCCCAUCUCCUCCACACCGCCCCGCCCGGCCCACCCGGCACUGACUGCAUCAGGACCUCAAGUUGGAGGUCCAACGUCAGCGCGUCUAGAAAGGCUCCCAGGUGACUCUCAUGUUCAGGUAGAAUUAGCAGCGACAGCUCAAGGGUGUUUGCUCUUGAAACUUAGAGCAAGAGGUAGAAAAGUCUGGAACGCACUCCCUCAGCGCUGGUUUCUGGUCUCUUUGUAGAUGAACUAGUGAUUCUAAGUGAUCUCGUGAUAAAUCUAUUGGGGAGCUUUGCUGGAUCAAACCAGUGUUAACAUCAUGCCCUGGAGGAUGAGGAAGUCCACGAGCUUGGUUCUAGGGGGCCUGGGCGGUGCGCAGCGUGCUAGAGAUGCUGGAUACAGAUGUGUCAGAGAGCACCAGGGUCUCACACUUAGGUGUUUUUCACGGCUUUUGAUAAUGGGGAGUAAAUGCUCUAAGGAUGCCUCUCAAAGCUCUGUAACUGUAAGGCAGCAUCCUCCAGCCUCUCCUGAGGCCUGGAGGUGAUGCUUCCUUCACGGAGCCAGGGUCAGGUGGGAAAACCACAGAAAAAUAAGACUUUCUAGAGAGGUGCAAUUAGCCUAGAUUUUCAGAUAAAAUAUUGGCACUCAGAACAUGGAUUCCUAGGCAUUGUAGUUCUUGUUUGUUCCAUGAACACCUGUCAUUUACCAAAUAGAUUCUGAGGCAACUUGGUGGAGCUGCCGGGCUUAUGAACAGUGUGUCCUAGCUGGGAAGUACAGCUGAGGGAGGGCCCGUUAGCUAUAAAGCCAGCCCUUGGGGAACAGUGGUCUGGGGCCUGGGAGUGGAAAGAUCUCUGGAGGCCCUGGAAAGUGCGAGAGACAGCUUUUUAAGAAGGGGCCUGAGGUUCGGGGAUACAGACUGUGGCAUCUCAAUCAAAAUGGAAACUGUACAGAGCAGGGGUGAACACGGGCGUCAUAUUCACAGGCUGAAUGCCAGUUCUGCCCCUCCCUGUGUGACCGUGGCAUGUUCAUUCAUCCGAGGUGGUCUUCUUAUCUGUGGGGGGUGGGGUGCUACUUCCCUCACAGAGUUUAAGGAUUAAAUGCGAUUGUAUAUGAAACAUCUAGUAGUAUGCUUAACACAGGUGCUUAUAAAUGGUGGUUAUUUUAGCCAUUUAAGAACAUUUUUCUGUCCCUUGCUCAUACAGUGGCUAAUAUGUCAAACUUGCUCAAGUUGAUUGGCUAAACGAG